CUCUAUUCGAUUAUCACUUUCUUAUCAAACUGUAUAAUGUAAUUUAAAUUUAGAAAAAAACUUCAAAUACCACUGUUGUGUGUUCAUGCUUUCUCACUUUAGUAUCAUAUGAUUUAAAAUGUAUUAUUUUAGUACUUUGUGAUUUUAUUUUUUUCUUUCUAUUAUUUCAUAUAUUAAUCUUUCCGUUAAAUUAGUGACAAAGUUAAAAACACUAGUUACUAAAGUGAAAAAUUCGAUAAACCACGUAGUUAUAGAGUGAAUAUUUAAUAAACCAUAGGUGGUAUAUCUGAAGUUUUUUUUUAUAUGAUUUGACGAAGAUAUUGAUGAAAAAAAAAUACCACGGAAUACUAAAAUAAUACAGUUUAAAUCAUAAGAUACUAAAGUGAGAAAGUGUGAAAUCGCAAAAGUGAUAUUUAAAGUUUAUCCUUCAAUUUAUUUUCGUUUUUGUUUU
rnacentral:lncRNA from 1 species